GACGAACGCUGGCGGCGUGCUUAACACAUGCAAGUCGAACGGAAAGGCCCCCUUGUGGGGUACUCGAGUGGCGAACGGGUGAGUAACACGUGAGUAACCUACCCUUAACUUUGGGAUAACUUCAGGAAACUGGGGCUAAUACCGGAUAGGAGCUCCUGCUGCAUGGUGGGGGUUGGAAAGUUUCGGCGGUUGGGGAUGGACUCGCGGCUUAUCAGCUUGUUGGUGGGGUAGUGGCUCACCAAGGCUUUGACGGGUAGCCGGCCUGAGAGGGUGACCGGCCACAUUGGGACUGAGAUACGGCCCAGACUCCUACGGGAGGCAGCAGUGGGGAAUAUUGCACAAUGGGCGGAAGCCUGAUGCAGCAACGCCGCGUGCGGGAUGACGGCCUUCGGGUUGUAAACCGCUUUCGCCUGUGACGAAGCGUGAGUGACGGUAAUGGGUAAAGAAGCACCGGCUAACUACGUG
rnacentral:rRNA from 1 species